AUUGAACGCUGGCGGCAUGCUUUACACAUGCAAGUCGAACGGUAACAGCACUUCGGUGGCUGACGAGUGGCGAACGGGUGAGUAAUACAUCGGAACGUGCCUAGUAGUGGGGGAUAACUACUCGAAAGAGUAGCUAAUACCGCAUGAGAUCUAAGGAUGAAAGCAGGGGACCUUCGGGCCUUGCGCUACUAGAGCGGCUGAUGGCAGAUUAGGUAGUUGGUGGGAUAAAAGCUUACCAAGCCGACGAUCUGUAGCGGGUCUGAGAGGACGACCAGCCAAACUGGAACUGAGACACGGCCCAAACUACGACGGGAGGGGGCAGCGGGGAAUUUUAUGAAAGAGGCGCGAGCCUGAUCCAGUAAUGCAGCGUACAAAAUGAAGGCGUUAGGGUGGUAAACUGCUUUUGUGCGGAAAGAAAAGCACUCUACUAAAACAGGAGGGUCAUGGCGUUACAGUAAGAAUAAGCAACGGCUAACUACGUG
rnacentral:rRNA from 1 species